CCUUGUGUCACUUAUUAGUGAUAAAACGUACAACUGCCUUCAUCAGCAUCAACCUCAAAUUUGUUUCUCAUUGAAAUGAACCAGCAUGCUUUCAGUUUGCCUCCCCUCCAAGCCCAGUAAUGAGGAAUCCAGUACAGAGUAAUUAGACUGUCUGCGACUGAGGUGCCUGCCAAUUAUGCUGAUGGAACUGAAGUCUUAUUAGACUAAUAAGGUUUUCUAAAU
rnacentral:lncRNA from 1 species